UCAUCAUCAACAGUCGCUCUUUACUGUGUGUGUUCCCGUCAUGGGAUAUUUAGGUCUCAGAUGACCAGUUCUACAAUUUAUGUUAUUACAAAUUAUCUUAUUUAUGUUCGUACAAAGAAAUUAAAAUUGUGGGAUAUACCAUCUGUUGUUGGUUCAAUAUUAACAGGAGCUGAUUUCUGACUGGAUUUGUGUAAUCACGAUUGGAAUUUAUUUAUUUUUUCCUGCGUAUAAAACUGCCGAUGUUUGUGGAAUCUCUAAGAAAGCAAAACCUGACUAUUGCUCACCGGAAGCCUGAAUUUAACAGCACGGAAUGAACGAGCAGCCUGACUAUUGCUCACCGGAUGCCUGAAUUUCACAGCAUGGAAUGAACGAGCAGCCUGACUAUUGCUCACCGGAUGCCUGCAUUUCACAGCAUGGAAUGAACGAGCAGCCUGACUAUUGCUAACCGGAUGCCUGAAUUUCCCAGCAUGGAAUGAACGAGCAGCCUGACUAUUGCUCACCGGAUGCCUGAAUUUCACAGCAUGGAAGGAACAAGGAACAUUUUAUUGAUUAACAGAAGUAACCAGAAAUGAAUUCUGGCUGUAAGGACAUCGAAACAAGAUUUAUUACCGUCCUCACUUCUAUUGGAAUGAGCACCCAUAGUUCACUGCAUGAAAGAGCGUCGAAUGCAACAAAUUGAAACAGAACUCUAUACAGGUCAAGAACUCUUUUUAUAUUAUGUGGAAUGUUCCUAAUUUGUACACUUUACGCAUUAAUUGCCUACACAUGUUAAUCUUGACUUAUGCAAAUAUUUUAGAUCGUUGAUAUUAGUUUCAAUCUUACUUUUCUAAUGAAUAGUCUUAAGAAUUCUUUUUAAGCAAGAUAUAAUUAAAAACAUUUCAGUUAAAUUUUGACAACAAUAUUCCUAAACUCUAUAGAAAGUCAAAGAGCAAAACAGAUGUUCAUAAAUUUUAACUUUUUAUUUUUAAACAUUUUCUUUAAUGUGUCAAAUUACAAGAUUCCAAUAAAUAUUGGUAAAGGCAAAUACUGUUAGAUGCAAAAUAUCAUUUUAUAAUUAAAAUAUAGGGCAUAUAGAGAACAUCUCUAAGUACGCUAAUUUCCUCAUCA